rnacentral:lncRNA from 1 species
GUAAAAUGUCUUCUCCUUAGGUAAGGAAGGCUCUCCUUUUAUACUGUCUUGCUUACUGCUACUCUCAUAUUUGGCGUUUCCUGCAAAUGUUUAAGUACAAACAACAGCAUCUGGCACUAGAAGGGUAUUAAGGAGGCGUCCCACAGGAGCCCCCAGCAGCCCAGAGAAAGAAACUGAUGUCCAGAGAGGCUGGGCCGCCUGCUCACAGCUGCUCAUCUUUCCCUUAUAGCACAUAGCCUUGCCCCUGGUGCUAGAACUCAGUCUGCGGACUAAGGAAAACUCCAGACACAUUUCUAGUGCUUACAUAAGAGUUAACAGCUUGAGGUACACCUGCCUUUAAAGAUGAAAAGUAAAGUUCUUUUAAGGGAUUUCAUCAGGACACCAUAAACGCCCUCAGCAUUGACACUCUGCGGCCCGUCCUUAGAUUUGAGGCUCUCAGUUAACUACUUCCCAGAUAUCCGUUUUGCCUUUAAUGUUAUACACUAUCAGUAUAUUGACCAGGGUCUCAGCCACAGUGUACUUCGGCUAAACUGUCCUGUGUUUCUAGCAAAUAGGGAAUGACUGCGUGAGACGUAAAAGUGUCAGUGUUACAUUUGCCUGCAGCGUCUGUUUUUAUUUUUUUCCCUGUUGUCUGGUUCUGCUCCCAAGUCCUCCAUUCCUGAGAUGUAGGAUGCCUGUCUUGCACAAGAGCGGUGUUCGGGGCAGGCCUGCCUUCCAGGGUUCGAGCAGAGGUCUGGAAUGGAGCCUGAGCCUGGUCCCCGCCCUCCAACCUACCCUGUGAAGUAGGCCAAACUACCUCACCUCCCUGAGUCUGUUUCUCCAUCCAUACUGGCUGUCAGUACUGUCCUCAUUAGGUGGUUGUGAGGGUGAGAUCAGAUAAGGCACAUAAAACUCUUAGCAUCAUAUCCGUCAUACUUUACCAUGCUUCUUGGAGAUGGCCUUUUUUUUUUUUUUCAAACUGGAGGUUUGCAGCAACCCUGUGCAGAGCAAGUCUGUGGGCGCCGUCUUUGCUUUCUGUGUCACCUUUUGGUAAGUCUUCCAAUAUUUCAAACCCUCCAAUGACAAAAAGAUUACAUCUCACUGAAAGCUCAGAUGAUGACUAGCCUUUUUCAGCAAUAUUUUUUAAUUAAGCUAUGUGCAUUGUUUUUUAGACAUAAUGAGGUUGCACUCUUGACAGACUACAGUGUAGUGGAAACAUAACUUUUAUAUGCACGGGGAAACCAAAAAAUUCAUGGGACUCACUAUAUUGCCAUGGUUUGGAAUUGAACCCCCAGUACCUCUGAGGUAUACCUGUAGUAAAGGAACAGUUUAAUACAUGGUACCUAGCACUGAUCUUUUAGUCAAAUUUUCUAUCAUAGCUAAAGAUUUUUUUACAAAAAAAUGAGCCCAUGAAAGGAUGCUCAACAUCGUUAGUCAUUAGGGAAAUGAAAAUUAAAACCAUAAUGAUAUCUGACUUCAAUCCCACUGAAAUGCCUAAAAUGGGAAGGACUGGUAAUAUUGAAUUUGGUGAGGACCUGAAGCAACAGAAAUGUACAAUGGUACUACUACUUUGGAGAACAGUUUUGAAGCUUCUUAAAAAGUUAAAUAUACAUCCAACUUGUGGACCCAGCCCUUUCGCUCCUAGGUAAAUACCCAAGAAAAAUGAAAUCACAUUUUCACACAGAAUCCUAUAUGGGAGUAUUUAAAGAAGCUUAAUUGGUCACAGCCAAAAACGAUAAAUGACCCAAAUGUCCAUCAGCAGUUGACUAGGUGGACAAAUUGUGAUAUAUCCGUAAAAGGGAAUAUUACUCAGCAGUAAAAAAGGAAUGCAUUCUUGAUAAACUCAACAGUAUGGAUCAAUCUCAAAGACUCACCAGGUUUUAUGAUUUAAACAUGUACAGUGUUGAGCAUCAAUUAUAGCCCAAGAAAGGCUUUUUUUCUAAAUUAAUGUCCACUACAAGGAAAGCCAAAUAACAUACAUAUAAACCGGAGUGUGUUUAUAAGAUGAUGGGUUAGCUUCAGAUGCUACCACAGGGAACAGGGUAGGAACUUCUGGUUCUAUCACUUGCUCUGUUACAUUGGGCAAGUUACUUAACCUCUCUGAGCUGUGGUUUUCCAUGUGGAAGUAGAGAUGAUGGGCUGCAUCACACUAUUGCUGUGGUAUACAAAGCUCUUAACAGAGCCUGGCAUACAGUGGAUGCCCCAAACUGCUGUCUAUACUGAUAGUAUUGUUUGUUCCCUUCAGGUUCAUAAAGUACUUAGCUACCCCAAACCAGCAAUCUAUAGGUGAACAUUUCUGUGAAUCAACCUGAGUAAAAACUGAAAUGCUUUGUUCUUCCUUGGGGCCUGGAAAUGAGGGCUUUCCAUGUGCUCUAAAACAGCCUGUUCCCUUUGGUUGAUUAAGCAUAGUUUAAUUUCACAGAUACCAGAUCCUUUCAUAAAACAUUCUUUGAGGGAUUGGGAGGACUUUCCAAAGGAAGUGACUAAGCAUAGAAUCUUAGAAUUGGAUGAGAACGGAACAGCCUCUAAUCCAAAGCUGUCGUGUAAUAGGCAUGACCAUUGGGAGUGGGGAAAGAAGGUGUCUUGUCCAGAGUUACAAAGUGCUGGGGUCAGGAGUGAACCCAGUGUCCUGGCCACCGAGUUAGCCAAGCUUGCCUGAGCACCGUGGGGCCCCUGCCUCUAAGCCAGCCUGCGUUUUACAGAGAGAACAGUGACAAGGUCAGCCGAGGCCUUGACCCAGUGAUCAGAUUUAAUGGAUUUUAAAUGAAUGAGGUUUUCUGCUGAGGUCUUAGAUGUGAGAAGCUCCGGGGGGCAACAGGCCAAGGUUUCGGCAUUCUUUGUCUCUGACCCAGGCAGGACUCCUUGUUUGGGUUCAGUGUCUCUACUCAGCCCUUUUGUUUCUGCCUCGUGUUUCACAACCAUUUAUAUAAGAUUGCUUUGGGAAUGC